rnacentral:rRNA from 1 species
AUGAAUUGCAUUAGUUGGAAUUGUCGUGGCUGUGGGAAUGCCGCGACAAUUCGUGAACUUUGUGUCUUGGCAGAGACACACCAUCCCAAAGUUAUCUUUCUUUCUGAAACUCGUCAAAAGUGUGCUCGUAUGCGUCGUCUUCGGAGUCGAUUAGGCCUUUCUGGUUUUGCUGGAGUUGACAGUGAUGGUUUAAGUGGUGGUUUAGCUUUGUUCUGGCAUGAGAGUCUAUCUGUUGAAGUCAAGGAUUUGAAUGAAAGAUUCAUUGAUGUUUACUUGCGUGUGUCCCCCUCGGCUCCAUUAUGGCAUGCUACUUUUGUGUACGGAGAGCCACGUUCUAAAAACCAACACCGCAUGUGGUCGUUGUUGUGCAAUCUCCGCGCGCCCUCAUCUCUCCCUUGGAUGGCAAUGGGAGACUUCAACGAAGAUCUUUGGCAAUUUGAGAACUUCUCGCUUACACCCCGGGUUGAAUAUUUGAUGGCUGUUUUCAGGGACAUGAUGUUGGUGUGUGGGCUGAAGGACUUGGGGUUCAAAGGGCUGCAAUAUACUUAUGAUAAUGGAAGAGCUCGGAGUGCAAAUUGUCGGAUUUCGGGUUCCGGCAGACCCUCUAGAUUCGAACACUGGGGUGCGCGCGGAGAUUUCGCCCACUGCCUACCUGCACCUCACUGCCUCGCUAUGGUCUAA